UGCGGAAGGAUCAUUACAAAAAGCCCCACCGGCGCCCUCGGUAUUGCCCGGGCUGGCUCGGGUGGGGGGCGCCGCGCCCGCCGCGGCGCCUAAAAACCCACUCCCCGCGUACACAUCCCUGUUGCUUCCCCGGGAAGGCGCUCGCCGCCCGGGGGAGGACCCACCCGGAGCACACGAUGCCGACCAACGCACCCCGUCCACCCCCCCGUCCCACCCGUCUGAAGGCCAGCGUGGCCAUGGAGGAGUAGGAGCGAGCGAGCGACGAGACCAACGCAAAAAACUUUCAACAACGGAUCUCUUGGUUCCCGCAUCGAUGAAGAACGCAGCGAAAUGCGAUAAGUAAUGUGAAUUGCAGAAUUCAGUGAAUCAUCGAAUCUUUGAACGCACAUUGCGCCCCCUGGCAUUCCGGGGGGCAUGCCUGUUCGAGCGUCUCCGGGACGAACACUCACGCGAGCUAAAUGCGUGGUUGUGGCGGCGGUGGCGGCCCCAGGCGGGAGGCCACCCCGGCGGAAUCGAUGGGCGGAUGACCGCCGCGUCGCAGAGCGUGAUAUUCUUUGCUUAUCGCCUCGAGCGCGGAGAGGCUGCCAGCCCUGGCCCAGACGCCUGUCGCGUCGCCGAGCGCGGUACCUUGGUAUCCCCUCGGGCACCGCAAGGCUGCCAGACCCUUGCCACGUGCGGGGGCCUGGGAGGCUGGGAUUACAUGACAUUGGAACUCCU
rnacentral:rRNA from 1 species